AUGAUUCAUGAAAGGAGAGAUGCACAUCCCUAUAAAAUGAUAGACAAUCACUAGUGCUUGUUACACACAAAGGGUUGAUGGUUGAAUACUAUUAAAUAAAAAAUAAAACGUUUUU
ensembl:snRNA